ACGUAGCUCUUUUCGGGGAGUGUUAUAGCCUGCGACGCAAUGCCGCCUACCCUGACCGAGGACCGCGCUUCGGCUAGGAUGCUGGCGUAAUGGUUGUAAGCGACCCGUCUUGAAACACGGACCAAGGAGUCUAACAUCUAUGCGAGUGUUUGGGUGCGAAACCCAUGCGCGAAAUGAAAGUGAACGUAGGUGAGAACCCUUCGAGGGGGCAUCAUCGACCGAUCCUGAUGUCUUCGGAUGGAUUUGAGUAUGAGCAUAGCUGUUGGGACCCGAAAGAUGGUGAACUAUGCCUGAAUAGGGUGAAGCCAGAGGAAACUCUGGUGGAGGCUCGCAGCGGUUCUGACGUGCAAAUCGAUCGUCAAAUUUGGGUAUA
rnacentral:rRNA from 1 species